UACGGGGGGGGCAAGCGUUGUUCGGAAUUACUGGGCGUAAAGGGUUUGUAGGUGGCUGAUUAAGUCAGACGUGAAAUCCCUCAGCUUAACUGGGGAACUGCGUCUGAUACUGGUUAGCUUGAGUGCAGGAGAGGAACGCGGAAUUCCAGGUGUAGCGGUGAAAUGCGUAGAUAUCUGGAGGAAUACCGGUGGCGAAGGCGGCAUCCUGGACCGACAUUGACGCUGAGGAGCGAAAGCUAGGGGAGCAAACGGG
rnacentral:rRNA from 1 species